rnacentral:rRNA from 12 species
GCGGAGGGAUCAUUAC